rnacentral:rRNA from 1 species
GACGAACGCUGGCGGCGCGCCUAACACAUGCAAGUCGAACGGAGUCAAGAGGAGCUUGCUUUUCUUGACUUAGUGGCGAACGGGUGAGUAACGCGUGAGUAACCUGCCCUGGAGUGGGGGACAACAGUUGGAAACGACUGCUAAUACCGCAUAAGCCCACGGAUCUGCAUGGAUCUGCGGGAAAAGGAUUUAUUCGCUCUGGGAUGGACUCGCGUCCAAUUAGCUAGUUGGUGAGGUAACGGCCCACCAAGGCGACGAUUGGUAGCCGGACUGAGAGGUUGAACGGCCACAUUGGGACUGAGACACGGCCCAGACUCCUACGGGAGGCAGCAGUGGGGGAUAUUGCACAAUGGGGGAAACCCUGAUGCAGCGACGCCGCGUGGAGGAAGAAGGUUUUCGGAUUGUAAACUCCUGUCGUUAGGGACGAUAAUGACGGUACCUAACAAGAAAGCACCAGCUAACUACGUG